AAUGAACGCUGGCGGCGUGCCUAACACAUGCAAGUCGUACGAGAAAUCCCAAGCUUGCUUGGGAAAGUAAAGUGGCGCACGGGUGAGUAACGCGUGGGUAACCUGCCCCCGAAUCGGGGAUAACUCCGCGAAAGCGGUGCUAAUACCCGAUAAGACCACAUUUCGUUCGCGGAAAGAGGUAAAAACUGACCUCUCCAUGGAAGUUAGCGUUUGGGGACGGGCCCGCGUCCUAUCAGCUUGUUGGUAGGGUAAAAGCCUACCAAGGCUACGACGGGUAGCUGGUCUGAGAGGAUGAUCAGCCACACUGGAACUGGAACACGGUCCAGACUCCUACGGGAGGCAGCAGUGAGGAAUUUUGCGCAAUGGGCGAAAGCCUGACGCAGCAACGCCGCGUGGGUGAAGAAGGCCUUCGGGUCGUAAAGCCCUGU
rnacentral:rRNA from 1 species